rnacentral:rRNA from 1 species
AGAGCGAACGCUGGCGGCAGGCCUAACACAUGCAAGUCGAGCGCCCCGCAAGGGGAGCGGCAGACGGGAGAGUAACACGUGGGAACGUACCCUUUGGUUCGGAACAACACAGGGAAACUUGUGCUAAUACCGGAUAAGCCCUUACGGGGAAAGAUUUAUUGCCAAAGGAUCGGCCCGCGUCUGAUUAGCUUGUUGGUGAGGUAACGGCUCACCAAGGCUACGAUCAGUAGCUGGUCUGAGAGGAUGAUCAGCCUCACUGGGACUGAGACACGGCCCAGACUCCUACGGGAGGCAGCAGUGGGGAAUAUUGGACAAUGGGCGCAAGCCUGAUCCAGCCAUGCCGCGUGGAUGAUGAAGGCCCUAGGGUUGUAAAGCUCUUUUGUGCGGGAAGAUAAUGACGGUACCGCAAGAAUAAGCCCCGGCUAACUUCGUGCCAGCAGCCGC